UUGCUGCGCUGUAAACCUAGCGGCGGACGGGUGAGUAACGCGUGGGCAACCUGCCUUACACAGGGGGAUAACACUGGGAAACUAGUGCUAAUACCGCAUAACAUCAUUUUAUGGCAUCAUGAGAUGAUCAAAGGAGCAAUCCGGUGUAAGAUGGGCCCGCGUCCGAUUAGCUAGUUGGUGAGGUAACGGCUCACCAAGGCAUCGAUGGGUAGCCGGCCUGAGAGGGUGGCCGGUCACACUGGGACUGAGACAAGGCCCAGACUCC
rnacentral:rRNA from 1 species